rnacentral:rRNA from 1 species
AGUGAACGCUGGCGGCGUGCCUCAUACAUGCAAGUCGCACGGAGUGGCGCACGGGUGAGUAAGGUAUAGCUAAUCUGAACUACACUAGAGGACAACAGUUGGAAACGGCUGAUAAUACUCUAUAGUGUAGGAUGAGGCUAUAUGGUAUCAUCUAGUUGGUGAGGUAAUGGGUCAACAAGGCUAUGACGCAUAACUGGUCUGAGAGGAUGAUCAGUCACACUGGAACUGAGACACGGUCCAGACGCCUACGGGAGGCAGCAGUAGGUAAUAUUGCUCAAUGGGGGAAACCCUGAAGCAGCAACGCCGCGUGGAGGAUGACACUUUUCGGAGCGUAAACUCCUUUUGUUAGGGAAGCGGUAACUAACGAAUAAGCACCGGCUAACUCCGUGCCAGCAGCCGCGGUAAUAC